rnacentral:rRNA from 1 species
CCUACGGGCGGCAGCAGUGAGGAAUAUUGGUCAAUGGACGAGAGUCUGAACCAGCCAAGUAGCGUGAAGGAUGACUGCCCUAUGGGUUGUAAACUUCUUUUAUAUGGGAAUAAAAUGUUCCACGUGUGGGAUUUUGUAUGUACCAUAUGAAUAAGGAUCGGCUAACUCCGUGCCAGCAGCCGCGGUAAUACGGAGGAGCCGAGCGUUAUCCGGAUUUAUUGGGUUUAAAGGGAGCGUAGGUGGAUUGUUAAGUCAGUUGUGAAAGUUUGCGGCUCAACCGUAAAAUUGCAGUUGAAACUGGCAGUCUUGAGUUCAGUAGAGGUGGGCGGAAUUCGUGGUGUAGCGGUGAAAUGCUUAGAUAUCACGAAGAACUCCGAUUGCGAAGGCAGUUCACUGGACUGCAACUGACACUGAGGCUCGAAAGUGUGGGUAUCAAACAGGAUUAGAUACCCGGGUAGUC